UUAUUUGUCUCAUGACAAAGAGAUUGCUCUCUUGCUUUUCAAUUUGUAAGCCUAUUUAAAGGCGACAUAUUUGAAAGAAAUCAAGUUAUCCUUUAUUAUAAAAUUUUGAGAGUUAUUUUCUCUUUCCGGUGGAUUCUAUAAGCUUUUAUGUGACAUAUUUGUUGUUUGUCACUUGUAAACCUGUGUUUUCGUUUCUAGAAUUAGUGGUUCCUUGUACUUCCGACCGCGUCACAAACUCGGGUUCUUCGAACAAUUUGAUCCAAUGCGUGCAAACAAUGGGAGCUCAUUAAUCACUUAAAUCUAAUGUUUAAAUUAUUUGUUUUUUUUUUAUUUUCAUAAUUUUCAUAAUAAAGGAUAACUACGAUCUCCACAACUACGAUCAGAAGGGGUUGGAACCACGGUUCGAUCUCCACAACUACGAUCGGAAGGGGUUGGAACCACUCUGUGUCAUAACUGACCCCCCGAACCAGAUUAGACGGUCUAAUAGGCCGGAUACUUGAGUGAAAAAAAAUAAAAAUUAUUAUUGUUGUGUCCGAUACUCCCUGCGUCCUAAAAUGCUCCCUCCAUCUCAAAAUGAGUGGCCCAUUUUGACUAUAUGCACUAUUCAUACAACUUGUUUUGACCAUAUUUUUUUACUAAUAAAUAAAAAUAAGGGUCAUGCUAAACAGAUGUUGGAUUCGUCGUAUUUUUAAAAUAUCA
rnacentral:lncRNA from 1 species